rnacentral:rRNA from 1 species
GAGUACGCGUAGGAAUCUGCCCAUUUGAGGGGGAUACCAGUUGGAAACGACUGUUAAUACCGCAUAAUAUCUGUGGAUUAAAGGUGGCUUUCGGGCUGUCGCAGAUGGAUGAGCCUGCGUUGGAUUAGCUAGUUGGUGGGGUAAGGGCCCACCAAGGCUACGAUCCAUAGCUGAUUUGAGAGGAUGAUCAGCCACAUUGGGACUGAGACACGGCCCAAACUCCUACGGGAGGCAGCAGUGGGGAAUAUUGGACAAUGGGGGCAACCCUGAUCCAGCAAUGCCAUGUGUGUGAAGAAGGCCCUAGGGUUGUAAAGCACUUUAGUUGGGGAGGA